rnacentral:rRNA from 1 species
AGCUUCAGUUGUCCGAUUUG